GCGCACUGUGUACAAACAGAGGCGGCGUGCGUAGAAGAAGUGGGGCAAGUUUGGGAACUGUGCAAGAACAUAAAGGCAAAGACAGACCCUUGAAGCAUCACUAAGAAUGAUUGCUUAUUGUACAUGGAUCCAAUUCCAGCAGUUACAGAGAGGGAGGUAGGGAGAGAGACAAACACAGAGCUAGAGAAAUUGAAAGAGAAACAUUCUCGAAGGCAAAGAGUUGAAAGGUGAAUCUACUAAGAAAAGAAUAACAGAGUGCAAUUAGCCAUGGAACUACAUCUCCAUCUGCCUCCUUUAAAGGAUGAGUCCUUUAAAGAGCCUUUGGAAGGAAUUGGGCCAUGAGAAGAGCCCUCAUGAAUGGGAUUAGUUCCCUUAUAAGAAGAGACACCAAGGAAGUGAUCUUUCUCUGCCCUCUGCUAUGUGAAGACAAGGUAAGAAGACAGCUAUGAACCAAGAAGCAGGCCCUUACCAGACACCAAAUCUGCUGGUGCAUUGAUCUUGGACUUCUCAGCCUCCAGGACUGUGAGAAAUAAAUGUUUAUUGUUGAAGCCA
rnacentral:lncRNA from 1 species